rnacentral:siRNA from 1 species
GAGGCACUUGUCAGGGAUGAGGCA